GUGAUUUGCUUAAAAAUGUGUAAGUUGGCAGCUCUUCAUUCUUUAACUGUCAUAUUUCACUCUUGUUUAAAAGUUGUUAACUGAUAGCAGUGCCUUCUCUAUUGUUAUUUUCGAGACGCAAGACUCUGAUGCUCACGAAGAAGAAGCUUGUUCCAUCAAAAUCUUGGAAGAUGGGAAGUCUAGAGUAGACAGAGAGGAGCCUUGCCUUCUUAUGAACAUGGAUAGGUUGUCGUAUAACAGAGGGUGAGAGCUAAGCUACUUCCAAUGAGUUGAGAGAAGAUGCAGAAAUCAUAUUCAUGUUCGUUCAUAAAAUUUGAGGAGUUUGCUGAUACUUCAUCUGGGAGUGGUGUCCCUUCGUCAGUAGCAGCAGCAACAAUCCUGGAAUUGCCACGGCUUCAUGCUGAAGUCUGCAAUUCGAUGUUCUUUUGUUGACGUG